rnacentral:rRNA from 1 species
GAUGAACGCUGGCGGCGUGCCUAAUACAUGCAAGUCGAGCGAACAGACGAGGAGCUUGCUCCUCUGACGUUAGCGGCGGACGGGUGAGUAACACGUGGAUAACCUACCUAUAAGACUGGGAUAACUUCGGGAAACCGGAGCUAAUACCGGAUAAUAUAUUGAACCGCAUGGUUCAAUAGUGAAAGACGAUUUUGCUGUCACUUAUAGAUGGAUCCGCGCCGCAUUAGCUAGUUGGUAAGGUAACGGCUUACCAAGGCAACGAUGCGUAGCCGACCUGAGAGGGUGAUCGGCCACACUGGAACUGAGACACGGUCCAGACUCCUACGGGAGGCAGCAGUAGGGAAUCUUCCGCAAAGGGCGAAAGCCUGACGGAGCAACGCCGCGUGAGUGAUGAAGGUCUUCGGAUCGUAAAACUCUGUUAUUAGGGAAGAACAAAUGUGUAAGUAACUAUGCACGUCUUGACGGUACCUAAUCAGAAAGCCACGGCUAACUACGUG